rnacentral:rRNA from 1 species
AACGAACGCUGGCGGCAUGCCUAACACAUGCAAGUCGAACGAGACCUUCGGGUCUAGUGGCGCACGGGUGCGUAACGCGUGGGGACCUGCCCUUAGGCUCGGAAUAACUCCCCGAAAGGGGUGCUAAUACCGGAUAAUGUCUUCGGACCAAAGAUUUAUCGCCUUUGGAUGGGCCGGCGUUGGAUUAGCUAGUUGGUAGGGAAAAAGCCUACCAAGGCGACGAUCCAUAGCUGGUCUGAGAGGAUGAUCAGCCACACUGGGACUGAGACACGGCCCAGACUCCUACGGGAGGCAGCAGUGGGGAAUAUUGGAAAAUGGGCGAAAGGCUGAUCCAGCAAUGCCGCGUGAGUGAUGAAGGCCUUAGGGUUGUAAAGCUCUUUUACCCGGGAUGAUAAUGACAGUACCGGGAGAAUAAGCUCCGGCUAACUCCGUG